rnacentral:rRNA from 1 species
AGCAGCCGCGGUAACACCGGCGGCCCGAGUGGUGAUCGUGAUUAUUGGGUCUAAAGGGUCCGUAGCCGGUUUGGUCAGUCCUCCGGGAAAUCUGAUAGCUCAACUAUUAGGCUUUCGGGGGAUACUGCCAGACUUGGAACCGGGAGAGGUAAGAGGUACUACAGGGGUAGGAGUGAAAUCUUGUAAUCCCUGUGGGACCACCUGUGGCGAAGGCGUCUUACCAGAACGGGUUCGACGGUGAGGGACGAAAGCUGGGGGCACGAACCGGAUUAGAUACCCGGGUAGUCCCAGCCGUAAACGAUGCUCGCUAGGUGUCAGGCAUGGCGCGACCGUGUCUGGUGCCGCAGGGAAGCCGUGAAGCGAGCCACCUGGGAAGUACGGCCGCAAGGCUGAAACUUAAAGGAAUUGGCGGGGGAGCACAACAACGGGUGGAGCCUGCGGUUUAAUUGGACUCAACGCCGGACAACUCACCGGGGGCGACAGCAAUAUGUAGGCCAAGCUGAAGACUUUGCCUGAAUCGCUGAGAAGAGGUGCAUGG